rnacentral:rRNA from 1 species
UGGGGGAUAUUGCACAAUGGGGGAAACCCUGAUGCAGCGACGCCGCGUGGAGGAAGAAGGCCCUCGGGUUGUAAACUCCUGUCCAUGGGGACGAUAAUGACGGUACCCGUGGAGGAAGCACCGGCUAACUACGUGCC